AGUCCAUAUUCUUUCAGUGUGUGUCUAUUCUGUUAUGCUAUAGUCCUUCUCUGUUCUAGACUCUGUCCUGUUUAUUAAUGAACAUGCAAAGUUUCUGAAGAAAAUCGCAAAUUGCAACUGAGAAAGAGAAAAUAAUGGCAGCUGGGAUAUAUUACUGUCUGCUGAUCUUUUUAUUUGUUAUAUAGUGCUGGUAAUAAGCAUAGAUUUUUACACUGCCUUCCUUGCCAGUUGAACUCGAUCAAACAUCCACGCGGUCGCCGGUGGCGCAACAGCAUGGGGGAUGCAAGAGAAGAUCCCCGUUGGCCGGCUAUAUGCACAGCCAUAUCUGCUGGAAUCCGUGCGUGCAUAGAUAGGUAUCUCAGAUCAUGGUUUGAAACCAUUUGAGAAAAAUGGGUUUGAGGGAAUGGUUUGGACUGGUUUGGUUUGAGGUGUUAGUUUGGGCUGCUCCGGUUUCUCACAAGUUAAUCAUGAAUUGGUUUGUUAGGGUCUGCGCUGUAUCCGGCUGUGGUUUGGCUUGGAUAUGGUCUGGUCCUAAACCUUUACGAGGCCGCGUUUGGGAAAUGGCAUGGUCUUCUAAAUCAAACAACCCAUGAAUAAAGUUACUUCAGAACAAAGAAACCCUUCAAUUGUCCCAUAAAUAAAUAUAUUUUCGCAUGUAUUGCUUAGAUUUUAACGCGUCAAGUUCUCCUUUUCUAUGCGUGUCCAGUGACAAGUCCUUUUUCCGAUGCAUUGACAAGUCUGGAGAACUGAUAUGAUCUUGUAUCGGGGUUACAUCAUCAAGGAGACCUUCUGCUAUGCUACGCUUGGUUAUCAUCGGUAAUUUUCAUGACCAGUUUUUUUUACAUGCAGACGGUUAUUUGGUUCUCUCCGUCGCCGCGUUUUUUUUUUCCUUUUUUCACACCAGAACAUUCCGCCCGUCGUCGUGUCCUAGAUUGGACUUCUCAGCCAAACAGCGAUCUGGGACAAGUUAUAGCGGCGCUCUAAAAGAGAAGGCCUAAGGCCUGAGCCUGUAUGCGGGAGGGAGAUGUACUCCCUCCGUCCCAUAUUCACGUAUACGGACACUUUUAAAAUAUAUAUAUAUAUAUAUAUAUAUAUAUAUUUGGCAAAUUUAAGUCACUUAAUGUCAA
rnacentral:lncRNA from 1 species